rnacentral:tRNA from 2 species
ACCCUGGUAGUUCAAUGGCUUAGAAUGCAAGACUCCAAAUCUUGAGGUGCGGGUUCGAUUCCUGCCCGGGGUGCCA